AUUGAACGCUGGCGGCAGGCCCAACAUAUGCCAGUCGAGCGGAGCGGCGGACGGGUGAGUAAUGCCUAGGAAUCUGCCUGGUAGUGGGGGAUAACGUCCGGAAACGGGCGCUAAUACCGCAUACGAUCAGACGAGCCUAGGUCGGAUCAGCUAGUUGGUGGGGUAAAGGCCUACCAAGGCGACGAUCCGUAACUGGACUGAGAGGAUGAUCAGUCACACUGAAACUGAGCCACGUACCAAACUCCUACGGGAGGCAGCAGUGGGGAAUAUUGGCAAAAUGGCGAAAGUCUGUACCAGCGAUGCCGCGUGUGUAAAGAAGGGCUUGGGAUUGUAAGGCACUUUAGGUUGGGAGGCGUUACCAACAGAUGAAGCACAGGCUAACUACGCGCCAGCGACCGCGGUAAUAC
rnacentral:rRNA from 1 species